AUCCAAACCAAAUUAUUUUCCCCAGGGAUACUGUACCAUGUGUAUCUAUCAUCGUGCCACUCACACAUAUCUUCUAGCCCAGUAGUUCUCAAACUUUGGUGUGCCUAAGAAUCACCUGGAUGACUUAUUCAAGCACAGAUGAUUAGGCCCCAAUCCCAGAGUUUCUGAUUCAAUAGGGCUUUUGUAGGGCCUGAUAAUUUGUUUUUCUAGUAAGUUCCCAGCUGCUCUGCGGCUGCUGGUCCAGGGCAUAAUUUGAGAAUUACUGUUCUACCUCAACUGCCUUCCUGCAAGCCCUCAGCUCAGAAGCAACGCUAGACCAUUUUUUUUAAAGGAGUGACCACUAAUUGGUCCAGAAGUGGACAUCUGAUAGAGAGAUUAGCCAAUGAGCAGCAAGAGGAGAAGACAGUGUAGAAGCCAAGAGAAGAAGAACGCAUGGAAUCCCCUCUGCAGUUAUGUUUGCCUGUGCAUCUCCGGCAGCUGGAGGACGAAUCACAUCAGGCUGAUGAGUGUGUCACGCUCUUCAUCCCCCAAGAGCUGUGAUGAAGACCAAGACAAACAGUAGAUUAACAGUGCUACCUUUUAUAAGGCUGAUUAGUUCCUAAAAUAUGCUGAAAGGAAACAAAACCAAAAAGAAAAAAGAGUGGAAAGGGGGGUGAGACAGAAACCUUUGUCGAGUCUCAUUCCAUCACCCAGGCUGGAGUGCAGCGGCGUG
rnacentral:lncRNA from 1 species